GGCGAACGGGUGAGUAACACGUGGGCAAUCUGCCCUGCACUCUGGGACAAGCCCUGGAAACGGGGUCUAAUACCGGAUACAACCACUGACCGCAUGGUCGGGUGGUGGAAAGCUCCGGCGGUGCAGGAUGAGCCCGCGGCCUAUCAGCUUGUUGGUGAGGUAAUGGCUCACCAAGGCGACGACGGGUAGCCGGCCUGAGAGGGCGACCGGCCACACUGGGACUGAGACACGGCCCAGACUCCUACGGGAGGCAGCAGUGGGGAAUAUUGCACAAUGGGCGAAAGCCUGAUGCAGCGACGCCGCGUGAGGGAUGACGGCCUUCGGGUUGUAAACCUCUUUCAGCAGGGAAGAAGCGAAAGUGACGGUACCUGCAGAAGAAGCGCCGGCUAACUACGUGCCAGCAGCCGCGGUAAUACGUAGGGCGCAAGCGUUGUCCGGAAUUAUUGGGCGUAAAGAGCUCGUAGGCGGCUUGUCGCGUCGGUUGUGAAAGCCCGGGGCUUAACCCCGGGUCUGCAGUCGAUACGGGCAGGCUAGAGUUCGGUA
rnacentral:rRNA from 1 species